GGUUGAGUGCCAUCAUGGUGUUGCGUUGGAUUAGGAUUCCAGGAGACCAGAGUUCGAAUCCCUGCUCAGCCA